rnacentral:lncRNA from 7 species
AUAAGAUCUGGCCGACCAGUUUACAUCUACAUAUGAGACAUGCAGAGAAACAGUUGCAAAAUGUCUAUCUUCCCUCAACAAGUGAGAAGAGGAGCUCUAAGCAUUAAAGAGGAGGAAGAACUCUUGGUGAUCCAAAAUUGCUGGAUAAAGCCCUUUGGACUCUCUUCUAACUCACAAACUCAUCAGAAAGAUCCAAUCUGUACCCUACCUGCCUGCGUGCUGGUUCUUUUCCUGUGGCCUCAAGAGGUUUUGCAGAUACUGAGGCUGCAAUCAGUCACUUACAAAGAAAGCACAGUCUCAGGCAUGAGCCAGAUUCCCAGAGAAGGCAACAUCCUUCAAGUAUUGCAUCCACUGCUGUGAUUCCUUUGCAGUUUUAUAUGUAUCUUGAGUAACUUUUCUUAACUUCACGGUUUCUGGCUUUCAACUGUCAGAACCAGCAAAUAUUAGAUUAAUUCUGAUUUAAUUGGAUGACAUCUAAGGGCCUUACCCCUCUCUGGCACCUCGUUUUGCUCCUGUGCCAUGAUCUCCCAGGCAGAGGGUCUGUAUUAUCACAGGAAGCAACCAUCAACAUUGUCCAGAGAUUUCGAUAAAAAGCCCAUGCUUCUGCACAAAGAUUGUCUCAUGAAUCAGAGGAUCAUGUCCUUUGCAUGUAUGAUAUGGUUCUUAGAACAGAGUUAUAUAGUCUAGAUGGGGGUUUCCACUGAGAGAGUAUACGAAGAUGAAAGAGGAAGAAUUGCUAUGGGAAGAGGUUUUAUUAAAAAUACAGCUGAAGGUUUUUUCAUCAUAUCUUUGAGUAAACAUUAGUGGGAUAGUGACAGAAGAUGUGUCACUGGAUUUAUUUACUGUAAGACAGUUCUGCCGAGUAAAGUACCAUAUG